UGAUCCUGGCUCAGGACGAACGCUGGCGGCGUGCUUAAUACAUGCAAGUCGAACGAGAAGCUCACUUCGGUGAGUGGAAAGUGGCGGACGGGUGAGUAAAAUGUAGAGAAUCUGCCCUAGAGAGGGGGAUAGCAGUUGGAAACGACUAUUAAUACCCCAUAUGAGCGUACUUGAAAUAGUAUUCUUGAAAACUCCGGUGCUCUAGGAUGAGUCUGCAUCUGAUUAGCUAGUUGGCGGUGUAAUGGACCACCAAGGCGACGAUCAGUAGCUGGUUUGAGAGGAUGAUCAGCCACAAUGGGACUGAGACACGGCCCAUACUCCUACGGGAGGCAGCAGUAGGGAAUUUUGCGCAAUGGGGGAAACCCUGACGCAGCAACGCCGCGUGAACGAGACGCCCUUCGGGGUGUAAAGUUCUGUCAGUAGGGACGAAAUAUGACGGUACCUACAGAGGAAGCACCGGCUAACUCCGUGCCAGCAGCCGCGGUAAUACGGAGGGUGCAAGCGUUGUCCGGAAUCAUUGGGCGUAAAGAGUUCGUAGGCGGUAUGUAAAGUCAGGUGUUAAAGGCAGGGGCUCAACUUCUGUACGGCACUUGAUACUUGCAAACUAGAAUGCGGUAGAGGUAAAGGGAAUUCCUGGUGUAGCGGUGAAAUGCUUAGAUAUCAGGAGGAACAUCGGUGGCGUAAGCGCUUUACUGGGCCGUAAUUGACGCUGAGGAACGAAAGCCAGGGUAGCAAAUGGGAUUAGAUACCCCAGUAGUCCUGGCCGUAAACGAUGGAUACUAGGUGUUGCGGGUAUCGACCCCUGCAGUGCCGAAGCAAACGCGAUAAGUAUCCCGCCUGGGGAGUACGCACGCAAGUGUGAAACUCAAAGGAAUUGACGGGGACCCGCACAAGCGGUGGAACAUGUGGUUUAAUUCGAAGCAACGCGAAAAACCUUACCAGGGCUUGACAUCUGACGAACCUCGAUGAAAGUUGAGGGUGCUCUUCGGAGAGCGUCAAGACAGGUGGUGCACGGUUGUCGUCAGCUCGUGUCGUGAGAUGUUGGGUUAAGUCCCGCAACGAGCGCAA
rnacentral:rRNA from 1 species